rnacentral:rRNA from 1 species
AUUGAACGCUGGCGGCAUGCCUUACACAUGCAAGUCGAACGGUAACAGGUCUUCGGAUGCUGACGAGUGGCGAACGGGUGAGUAAUACAUCGGAACGCGCCCGAUCGUGGGGGAUAACGAAGCGAAAGCUUUGCUAAUACCGCAUAAGAUCUACGGAUGAAAGCAGGGGACCGCAAGGCCUUGCGCGAACGGAGCGGCCGAUGGCAGAUUAGGUAGUUGGUGGGAUAAAAGCUUACCAAGCCGACGAUCUGUAGCUGGUCUGAGAGGACGACCAGCCACGCUGGGACUGAGACACGGCCCAGACUCCUACGGGAGGCAGCAGUGGGGAAUUUUGGACAAUGGGCGAAAGCCUGAUCCAGCCAUGCCGCGUGCAGGAUGAAGGCCCUCGGGUUGUAAACUGCUUUUGUACGGAACGAAAAGACUCUUUCUAAUAAAGAGGGUCCAUGACGGUACCGUAAGAAUAAGCACCGGCUAACUACGUGCCAGCCGCCGCAGUAA